AUUGAACGCUGGCGGCAUGCCUUACACAUGCAAGUCGAACGGUAACGGGCCUUCGGGUGCCGACGAGUGGCGAACGGGUGAGUAAUACAUCGGAACGUGCCCGAUCGUGGGGGAUAACGAGGCGAAAGCUUUGCUAAUACCGCAUACGAUCUACGGAUGAAAGCAGGGGACCGCAAGGCCUUGCGCGGACGGAGCGGCCGAUGGCAGAUUAGGUAGUUGGUGGGAUAAAAGCUUACCAAGCCGCCGAUCUGUAGCUGGUCUGAGAGGAUGAUCAGCCACACUGGGACUGAGACACGGCCCAGACUCCUACGGGAGGCAGCAGUGGGGAAUUUUGGACAAUGGGCGCAAGCCUGAUCCAGCCAUGCCGCGUGCAGGAUGAAGGCCUUCGGGUUGUAAACUGCUUUUGUACGGAACGAAAAGCCUUCUUUUAAUACAGGAGGGUCAUGACGGUACCGUAAGAAUAAGCACCGGCUAACUACGUG
rnacentral:rRNA from 1 species